rnacentral:rRNA from 1 species
UGAGGAAUAUUGGGCAAUGGGCGGAAGCCUGACCCAGCAACGCCGCGUGAAGGAUGAAGGCCUUCGGGUUGUAAACUUCUUUUGUCGGGGAAGAGAGAGGACGGUACCCGGCGAAUAAGUCACGGCUAACUACGUGCCAGCAGCCGCGGUAAUACGUAGGUGACGAGCGUUAUCCGGAAUUACUGGGCGUAAAGCGCACGCAGGCGGCUGCUUAAGUCUGACGUAAAAUCUCCUGGCUUAACUGGGAGGGGUCGUUGGAGACUGGGUGGCUUGAGGCAACGAGAGGGGUGUAGAAUUCCCGGUGUAGUGGUGGAAUGCGUAGAUAUCGGGAGGAAUACCAGAGGCGAAAGCGACACCCUGGCGUUGAACUGACGCUCAUGUGCGAAAGCGUGGGGAGCGAACGGG